rnacentral:hammerhead_ribozyme from 1 species
AUCCAGAUGACGAGUCCCAAAUAGGACGAUAUGUGAAUGCUGGAU